GACGAACGCUGGCUGCGUGCUUAACACAUGCAAGUCGAACGCUGAAGCUCUGGUGCUUGCACCGGGGUGGAUGAGUAGCGAACGGGUGAGUAACACGUGAGUAACCUGCCCCUGACUUCGGGAUAAGCCCGGGAAACUGGGUCUAAUACCGAAUAUGACCGUUCCUCGCAUGAGGAAUGGUGGAAAGUUUUUUCGGUUGGGGAUGGGCUCGCGGCCUAUCAGCUAGAUGGUGGGGUAAUGGCCCACCAUGGCGACGACGGGUAGCCGGCCUGAGAGGGCGACCGGCCACACUGGGACUGAGACACGGCCCAGACUCCUACGGGAGGCAGCAGUGGGGAAUAUUGCACAAUGGGGGAAACCCUGAUGCAGCGACGCAGCGUGCGGGAUGACGGCCUUCGGGUUGUAAACCGCUUUCAGCAGGGAAGAAGCCCCUUGGGGUGACGGUACCUGCAGAAGAAGUACCGGCUAACUACGUGCCAGCAGCCGCGGUAAUACGUAGGGUACGAGCGUUGUCCGGAAUUAUUGGGCGUAAAGAGCUCGUAGGUGGUUGGUCACGUCUGCUGUGGAAACGCAACGCUUAACGUUGCGCGUGCAGUGGGUACGGGCUGACUAGAGUGCAGUAGGGGAGUCUGGAAUUCCUGGUGUAGCGGUGAAAUGCGCAGAUAUCAGGAGGAACACCGGUGGCGAAGGCGGGACUCUGGGCUGUAACUGACACUGAGGAGCGAAAGCAUGGGGAGCGAACAGGAUUAGAUACCCUGGUAGUCCAUGCCGUAAACGUUGGGCACUAGGUGUGGGGGACAUUCCACGUUCUCCGCGCCGUAGCUAACGCAUUAAGUGCCCCGCCUGGGGAGUACGGUCGCAAGGCUAAAACUCAAAGGAAUUGACGGGGGCCCGCACAAGCGGCGGAGCAUGCGGAUUAAUUCGAUGCAACGCGAAGAACCUUACCAAGGCUUGACAUACACCAGACCGGGCUGGAAACAGUCCUUCCCCUUUGGGGUUGGUGUACAGGUGGUGCAUGGUUGUCGUCAGCUCGUGUCGUGAGAUGUUGGGUUAAGUCCCGCAGCGAGCGCAACCCUCGUUCUAUGUUGCCAGCACGUGAUGGUGGGAACUCAUAGGAGACUGCCGGGGUCAACUCGGAGGAAGGUGGGGAUGACGUCAAAUCAUCAUGCCCUUUAUGUCUUGGGCUUCACGCAUGCUACAAUGGCUGGUACAGAGAGAUGCGAGACCGUGAGGUUUUAGCGAAUCCCUUAAAGCCAGUCUCAGUUCGGAUCGUAGUCUGCAAUUCGACUACGUGAAGUCGGAGUCGCUAGUAAUCGCAGAUCAGCAACGCUGCGGUGAAUACGUUCCCGGGCCU
rnacentral:rRNA from 1 species